rnacentral:ncRNA from 1 species
CUUCAGGGCGGGGUGAGAUUCCCCACCGGCGGUAACAGCCCGCGUACAGGCAAUGCCUGCUGAACCGGUGAGAUCCCGGUGCCGACGGUACAGUCCGGAUGAAAGAAG